rnacentral:rRNA from 1 species
CCUACGGGUGGCAGCAGUGGGGAAUAUUGGACAAUGGGGGGAACCCUGAUCCAGCCAUGCCGCGUGUGUGAAGAAGGCCCUCGGGUUGUAAAGCACUUUCAGUGAGGAAGAACGCCUGGUGGUUAAUACCCAUCAGGAAAGACAUCACUCACAGAAGAAGCACCGGCUAACUCCGUGCCAGCAGCCGCGGUAAUACGGAGGGUGCGAGCGUUAAUCGGAAUUACUGGGCGUAAAGCGCGCGUAGGUGGCUUGAUAAGCCGGUUGUGAAAGCCCCGGGCUCAACCUGGGAACGGCAUCCGGAACUGUCAAGCUAGAGUGCAGGAGAGGAAGGUAGAAUUCCCGGUGUAGCGGUGAAAUGCGUAGAGAUCGGAAGGAAUACCAGUGGCGAAGGCGGCCUUCUGGACUGACACUGACACUGAGGUGCGAAAGCGUGGGUAGCAAACAGGAUUAGAUACCCUUGUAGUC